AGCGAACGCUGGCGGCAGGCCUAACACAUGCAAGUCGAACGGACCCUUCGGGGUUAGUGGCGGACGGGUGAGUAACACGUGGGAACGUGCCUUUAGGUUCGGAAUAGCUCCUGGAAACGGGUGGUAAUGCCGAAUGUGCCCUUCGGGGGCAAGAUUUAUCGCCUUUAGAGCGGCCCGCGUCUGAUUAGCUAGUUGGUGAGGAAAUGGCUCACCAAGGCGACGAUCAGUAGCUGGUCUGAGAGGAUGACCAGCCACAUUGGGACUGGGACACGGCCCAAACUCCUACGGGAGGCAGCAGUGGGGAAUCUUGCGCAAUGGGCGAAAGCCUGACGCAGCCAUGCCGCGUGGAUGAUGAAGGUCUUAGGAUUGUAAAAUCCUUUCACCGGUGAAGAUAAUGACUGUAGCCGGAGAAGAAGCCCCGGCUAACUUCGUGCCAGCCGCCGCGGUAAGAC
rnacentral:rRNA from 1 species